rnacentral:lncRNA from 1 species
AAGGAAAUGAGGACAGAGGAGAACAAAAACAAGAAAAAGAAAGCAUAGGGGAUUAUGGAGGAAGUGAGACUGAAAGAGGAGGGGGAGAGAAUCACCCUGUUUUACCUCAAUUUAUACUUUAUAUAUGUAUAUCUUCCUAGCAGGCUUUCUCUCACAGAGAUCUAUUGCUUAUAUAAUCUAGCUUUUAUAUGUUCUCUUUUGUUAAAUGCUCAUAUAUAAUUUUCUCCCUUAUAUGCCUGAAAAUAUUUUCUGAUUUUUUGCUUCUUCUAUUUUCUGAGAUUUUUUAUCUUUGAAGAAUGGUAUGUGCAUUGAAAAUAUUCUUUAACAGUUCAUAAAGUUAAAUUCUCUAAAUAACUUAACAUUGUCUUACUCAUUGUAGUGCUAAAACUGGAGCUUUAUCUUCAGAAAUUCCAAAUCUAUGAAGAAAGAAUAUCUAAUCCCCAACAUUUAGACACUGCAAACCUCUUUCUUUUAAAUUUGCCAGCCCCUUAUUUUAAAAAAGACAUUUUAGCAAUUAGUGAAUAGCUUAGCUUUUUCCUUUGUUAUCUAUAUGAGACAGGAUAGCACAUUAAAAAGGAAACUCCAUAGGAGGCUCCAGAAUAAAAUUCAUUUUAAGACAAAAGUCAUUUGACAAAGAUAAUAAAUUUAUUUUUUAAAAGCCUAGGCAUUUCCUUUAUUCCAAAUCCCCUACUUAUUAACUCACUGAGUAGUGGAGUUAUAAUGAAGAAAAGUAAAUAUGUUGUGUUUGUAUUAUUUUACUAUUCAAAAUAUCUUUUCCCUUGUCUUACACUAGAAUAUAGAUUACUACCUCCAGGUCUUCUUUGUGUGAGGAAUUAUUUUCUACUCUUGUUAGUUUCACUUUAGCUAGGUUUUUCUUAAAUUUAUACAUUUAACUAAAAAGAACAUUUUUUCCAAUUAGAAUAACAAUGUGAUUGUUGAGCCUAAUUAUUUUUAUGUUUUCUGUAUUUGUAUAUUUGUGUAAAAAGCUCUAUUUUAAAUUGCCAAGAUAUUCUUACACAUGUUUGGCCAUCUAUACCCAUAGAGAUUCAUAAAGCAUUUAAAUUAUCAGUUGUUUUACGUGACUAAACUAGAUAAUUCUUCCAACAAACUAUAAAAUUAAUAGUUAAAAUGGAUUGAUUAAUUUUUGUGUAUAAGUGUUUGCCUGCAUGUGCAUAUAUGUUCAUCAUAUGCAUCCCUGAUGCCUUCAGAGUCUACAGAGAGCAGUGACUUCUUUGUGCUAGAUUUUGUGGCCAUUGUGAGCUGCCCUCUAAAUGCUGAAAGACAGUCCCAGAUUCUCUGCAAGAGCAGCAUGUGCUGAGCCAACUCCUUAAUCACAUAUGUAGCAAAUAUUUUAACGGCUCUCAGAAAUUGGGGCAUUACUUUAUACACAAAGAGAGACCUCGGAACACCUAACUCUGAAUGGGAUGUCCCUAUGGAAUCCCUUCCUUCAGAGCUCAGGAAACCCCAGGGAAGAGAAGGCAGAAGAAGGAUGCAAUCUACAGGGAAUGAAGGAUACUAGGAGAACAAGGCCCUCUCAAUCAGCUGAGCACAGCUCAUAUGAACUCACAGAGACUGAAGCAGCAAGCACAGGGCCUGCACAGAUCUCACCAGGACCUCUGUGCACAUACCAUAGCUUUCAGUUUAGUGUGUGCAUGGGACUCUGAGUAUGUAUAACUCAUACUCUCUGAUGAUUAUGCCUUCUUUGGGGCUCCCCCCCCUUUUUUUAUUAAUUUGCCUCCUCUACCUUCAAUACAAUGGGUUUUGUUUCAUCUUGUUAUAUUUUAUUUUGCUAUGUUUUUGUUGCUCAAAAAGAAGUCGGAAGUAAAAAUAUUAAAACUUGAAAAAAUAACUUUAUUAGGUCAUUGAAGUACAAAGGGUGACAACUUGCCUGAAGCCAUGCAGAACUGAUGAUCAAUGGAGAUAAGCUAAAAUAUAGUAUUUUUCUCAAAAUCCCACUUUCAUUCAUCUUUAUCCAACUUGUUAAUAAUUUUGUCUAUUGCCACACAAUUCAUUUACAUUUUCUUCCUUCCCUUACUGGAUUCAAUAAUACGUGUAAUUUUAAAGUUCCCUUAGUGUCAGGACAUAGCAAAAUUUUUAUGUGUGGAAUGGCAACUAUUUACAUAUUUUAAAGGAUAUUAAUUUUCCUAUUUAUUGCAUUUCCUGUGACUCAGACUGUACUAGGUCAUUUUUUUUCCUUUUAACCAACAUCGAUUAUGAAAUAUAAAAAAUUAUCCUGAUAUAUAAUUUUAUAGAGAGCCAUAUACUUCUUCAGAAAUAAUUCUUGCCGCUUGUCCUAAAAAUAAUUUAACCCCUAAAGUAUUAUAGUUUAGCCCCUUACAUGUACUCAAAGGCAAGGUAAGCCUUGUGAGCAGAUUUAGUGUGAAUAAUCCUAUAAGCAGGAUUACCUGCUCAUGAGAAAGGAGAUUACAAGGUUGAGAGGCCAAAGCAGAAUGAUUUGUCUUUAAGGGUCUAUAGAACUCAAGUCCAGGACACGUUGACAUUCCUCAUCAGCACUGUCUCCUCUACCUGUGCAACUCUUUCAUCAUUUGACACAGAGCUAUGAUGAUAGAUGCCCGUAGUGACAAAUAUAACAUGCCUUAAUUCCAGAUGUUAGGGUAAUUUUCAAAUGCAAAGUACAAUGC